CAGUAGCCGCGGUAAUACGAAGGGUGCAAGCGUUAAUCGGAAUUACUGGGCGUAAAGCGUGCGUAGGCGGUUUGUUAAGUCCGUUGUGAAAGCCCUGGGCUCAACCUGGGAAUUGCAGUGGAUACUGGAUCACUAGAGUGUGGUAGAGGAUAGUGGAAUUUCCGGUGUAGCAGUGAAAUGCGUAGAGAUCGGAAGGAACAUCUGUGGCGAAGGCGACUAUCUGGGCCAACACUGACACUGAGGCACGAAAGCGUGGGGAGCAAACAGGAUUAGAUACCCCAGUAGUCCCUGUCUCUUAUAC
rnacentral:rRNA from 1 species